UCCCAGCACUCCGAGUCGCAGCCACAAUUAUUGGGUCUAAAACAUUCGUAGCUUGCUUUGUAAGUCUUUUGUGAAAUCGGGCAUCUUAAGUGUCCGGCGAGCAAAAGAUACUGCAUAGCUAGGAACCGGGAGAUGUAAAGAGUACGAAUAGAGUAGCGGUAAAAUGCGUUGAUCCUAUUUGGACUAACAACAGCGAAGGCACUUUACAAGAACGGAUUCGACAGUGAGGAAUGAAGGCUAGGGGCGCAAAUUG
rnacentral:rRNA from 1 species